CCUCCCGCCCGCUCCGUGAGACGCUCUCAGCGGGUGUUUCUCGGCCCCCGGGGGCCGCAGAGGCGGCGGAGCCUCGGACUACUUUUUCCUCCCCUCGGAGCGCGGAAGGAUAUUGCAGCAGUGGCGGCGUGACAGCACCACGCUCCUUCCUCUCGCCCCCCCUCCCGCUCCGCACGGGGUUUCCCACCCCGGCCCCUGCUGCAGCGCGGGGGAGGGGAGCGCGGUGCGCCGCGUUGAGGGUCGGUGCCGGGCAUGGCUGCGUCGUGCACGCAGAGCGCGUCGGUUGUUUUUAAAGCUUUCUCUGUGCAGUCCGAGGAUGGCAGCGCAGAGCGGCUCCCUCGGGUAUCGCGGGGCUCGCCUCCCGCUCCUCACACACACAAGUGCCGGCGCUGUGCAGGACGGCUUCCCCGUGUCAGCUCACGCCGAGGGCGGGAGGGGCAGGCAGAGAGGAAAGGAAAGGGAAGGAAAGGAAAGAGCGGUAGCGGGUGCCGCCCGGCCUGCUUUAUGUGGGGGAAAACGGCGCCCUGAGGUGGUUCCGCCGAGCCGCCAGGGAUCCUGCCCCUUGCUUUCACGUGUUGGUGGUUUUAAUGCACCGCUUGGGUUCUACAGUAAUGUGUUCAUAGGUAUUUCUUCUGUAGGCAAAUAAUGCAAGUUAUAAGCUAUCGUCGGUGCCCUCUUUAAUUGGCGUACGUGAGUCACCUCUGAAAUUUGUUUCCAUAGUGAUUCUAUAGGAACAAGUGCAGUGCUUGGAAAACACGACCCUUUACUUGUCAGGAAUGCUGAGAAUUGUGCAGAAUUGUCUAGAAUAUCUGCGAGGAGAGGCCGAACGUACCCAUGCUAUGGUAGCAUCUGCUGGGGAAACACCUCCAGAAGUAACAGUACAUGCCAAUAUCCGGGCUGAAUCAUACAUCCAUGGGCUCUGCUGACCUGCCCUACUGUUCCCAUGCCUGCCCCUGUGGGCUGGGAGGGCUGCACUGCUGCCUGGGGCUGCCCUUCACACAGCAGUGCCUCAACGCCCUCCUGAACCAUGGCCGUGCACCUCUAAAGUUUUGUAUUCCGCUUUAGUUAUUUGCAAGAAUGUGUAGAAAAGUUGUCUUUUUAGGAUGUUUAGGAACGUCGGCCAUUGUUUUUCAGUCUUUGAAGGCCCAUUUAAAAAAAUUGUAAGCUGCCCUCUCAGAUGGCAGGUACAGCAUCGAAAGGUCAGACUUCGCCACUGACACCUGGGAUUGAUGCUGGGAUUUGCUGCAUCCUCCGGCUUUGAAGCUUUCUAAGCUUCGUGCAGCCGUCUCCACUGAAAGUCUGCUCAAGGCCCGUGUUUGUGUUAUCAUUGGGCUGAAGCGAUACCAAAAAGAUAUUAAAUAAUAGCUUUAUCUGUGCUGCUGUCAUUAGGAUCCACAGCCGCACUUACUGCAUGCUAUGCACUUGGGUAGAUGUCUCCCCGAAAGACAAUCUUGGUGAAUCAUGAGAUCUUUGGUGGGAAUGAACAGAACGACGCAUUUAUUAAUACUGGGUAACAGAUGGACCAGCUAGUUUAGCAGCUGGGUUUCCAGUCAUUACUCAUACAGUCAAAGUGAAGAAUGAUAUAUCUAAAGAAAGCAGUAGGAGUUGACGCCUCCUGAAGCUGAGCUCUAGUUGAGCAAUCCCUUGGAAAUUUCAGAAAGCUCCUUUUAGAAAUCUCCUACCGUGACUCGAACAUACCAUGAAGCUGUCACGUACUUCUUGGAAAUCCUGGAAGACCCUGAAGUCUCUUCCUGCACUUGUGCACGAGCACUUCCAGCCUUGUGCUGCACCUGAUAUCGUGCAUUAAAUAAUUCCCACAGCUAGCAGGGCAGAGAAACAUCGUACGCAGUUUAUUCAAGGUGGUGCCCCAGAACAGCUGCCCAGGUUCUCCCAGGAUGCAGUGAUGCAAGCACAGCCAGCACACAGAAGGAAAGAGAAAGAAGCGCGAACCGUAAAGAACUGCUGCCUCAGAGCUGCUGUUGCCAUAGAGCUUCUAAUGAGGGAAAAAAACUGCAGCAAGGAUUUCUGCUGCUGCUGAAGGUAAGAUGAGGGCACGCAAAGGCUGUAAGAGGGGGGUGGGGAGGCAGAGGGAGGGAGAAGAGGAAGAAAGUCGUCCUUGCUGUCUAAAAAAGGAAAUUCAGUUUCAGUGUACACGAGCAGAAUUGCUGGUGCAGAAGAACAAAGCUAUCUCGGUUGUUUAGGGUAGCAGGAGUGAUGAGCAAGCAAGCGCAUUCCCAUGCUUUCAGGAGGAAAUGCUGCAAAGAAGGGAGGAGAAGCAGAGCUAUCGUUUAGAAAAUACUGCUGCUUCCAGAUACCUGCUUCUUGGCACUGCCUGGCGUUAGGAUUGUUCCCCAGGGUAAAGACAACUGUGAAAAAAUCAGACAGAUAAGCAGGAAGUAAAAUUAGUGCUGAAAAUGUUCAGCAUACGCUUACAAAUUCUGCGGGUCUGUAUUAAAAUGUGUUACAUUCAGCAGUACAGUACUGUGAAUACAACUGCAAUUGUGGUUGUUUUUUUAUAGUGAAGUUGUUAUGAUAAAUUAAUCCUUAAUCCAUCUUUAAUGCUGAAUACAGAACUGAGAUCAGACCUGCUUUCUGUGGAAUCUCUUGAACAGGGAGAGCUCUGUAGAAUAAGACUCUCCACGAUUAGUGCAGAAUUACCCACAAAAUACUCAUCCCAAAAGCUGUUGUCACUGUUUCUAUGUGUGUUGUGUCACAUAUUGCAGCUUUUUGCUAUUGCUUCCCUGCUCGUUCUCAGUCUCUUGUCACUUUCUGAGAUGACUUAAGUCCUGCCCAACAAACCCAGCACACCUGCCAUGUUUUCACAGCAGGGCCCUGAAGAGAAUAAAACAACUUUUAGAGGGUGUACUGAAGGCAGGGAUAACACCGAGUGUCUUAGCUAUGCUGAUAAAAGUGUGUUUACAUUGCUCAGCCACCUGCUCAAUGUACUGAGUAUGCUUGGAUAGAACAGAAUUGUGAAUUUCCUUUGCAAUUUCUUAACUUGCGCUUUAUCACCACUUAUCAAAUGUUUGAUUGUUUCUCCUGGAAUUCUGUCUGAAGAUUGGCACAGAGAGAGUUUUUCCAGUAGCAGCCUGUUAGAUUGAUCAAGAAUCAUCAGUACAGGUUAUAAAUAAAUGUAUAUUUGGGAUUCCGAUUGCUGUCAGCCUUACAGUCUCUCACUACAACAUGGUUAUUCUGUGAGAUUAUAGCAGUUGUAUGAGCCAUUUCUGAGUUGAGAAUUGCACUGAGAAAGAUCUACUGAUUAUGAACACAUCAGUUACUGUUUCAGAGGUACGUCAUGAGGAAACAAAUGUGUAAGUGUACUUCUUAGGAGUUUGACUCAUUUUGUGAGUCACACUCAUUUUGUCAGUCUCAUGCACAGCAGAUAGACUAUCUGCAGACUUUGGAACCAUUCUUACUUACAGCAGUCCUCAGUGAAGCCAGUGGUUGAUGACAUCCUAUUAAGCUUUGCGUGGAUCCCUUGAGCUAACACAUGAAGUUUAAUCCAUGAUUGUGCUUAACCCUUGAUGAUACGAGCAUUUAGUUCAAUGUCAGUAGGAGGUUUAGUAAUUUUCUUCUCAGAAGGGUUACUAGUAUCUUGCUGGAGUGAAUAAUUAUGUAUCUGAGUUCCACACAGCAUUAGACUGUGCAUUUCAGAGAAGUUCAGUCAGCUUGUGGAUCACAUUACUUGGAGUUCUUCAGAGAUCCCAAACAAUACUUUAGUCAAGUGUGACUCUGUAUAAUAAACACCCCAUAUGGCAAAAGAAGCUGAUGGAAGCUCCUUCAAGUGGGAUACAGGCACUGCAGAGCAAUAACAGGUAAUAAAGAAAGAAAACUGGCUUUCCACUUCUGCCACCAGAAACAGCUCAAGAGGAAUGCAAUCUUUAUUCAGCUGCUAACCCUUGAAUGAGGGUGAGGAGGAGUGGAUCCCAGCUCCACCCCUUCCAGUCACUUACAUGCACUGCUUGCUCCCUGAGCUCCCUGAUUAGCCAUGACUUCUCACCUGGCAAUUCCACUGCACCCCUUGUAUAGACUGACUGUCCAAGGAGGAAUGAAUGAUCCUUAAGUAGACUAAAAUUUAGUUGCCUUAGACAAGCACUUGGUGGGAUUGCACAGUCCUAGGUCAACUUAAUGUAAUUCUACACCUACAAAAAACAGACAGCUAGAAGCACUCAUGUUGCUAAUUGACAGAUCAUUCUCGGAUAUGGGUAAGUAUCUUUUGCAUAAAUUACAUAUAUUUAUUUUGUUGCAGUUGAUGGUGUCCAAGUACAUAUUUAUUCUGAAAAAGUGAAGACCUACUGUAGUGCUAAUGCAGAAAUGUCUUGAUGUGUGAAAUGGAAUGCAGAUAGUUUAUGACCUUCAGAUCAGAGCUGCUCUGUCUUAGGCAGUGUGAGCUACAACCAUCAUGUCUACGAGCUUUUGUGGAAGUUUCAGAGGUCUUUUGAUUGUAUUAUGGUGGAGAAGGGACUUUGUCUAAAUCUAGCCUAAACAAAGGAGUUGUUUAUAAAUCUGUUAAUCUGUCCAUGUAUUUGUAUGGAGCUCUGAAGAAAGAGGAGAUCUUCUACUUCAUGCUUGUCUUCUUUCUUCUUCAAUCUGGGUUAUAUUGUGGAAUUGUUUAAGAAAAGAAUGAAGUAUGACAAAACUUUGCCCAGAACACUUUAAUCUCUGCAUUUGGGCCAGGAGAAAAACAAAAAAAAAAAAGAAAAAGCAAUUAAGCCACUGUUGUUGCUGUGAUUAAUGCCAGAACCUGCACCAGUUCCCCAAACUUACCAAAUAUGAGACUUAUUUUAACGGUUAAUGUUGCCCAUAAUCACAUUUUUUUUCUGUUUGCUCAGAGGUGCUGCACUGCUCUGCAUCCAGUUCUGUCUCUUUCAAGUAAUACAAUUCUUCUGCACCACGGGCACUGACAGUGCUCUAAGGCUUGAUUUGUAGAAAUGCUGAGUAGCCACCCUACCAUUUAAAGCUAGUAGCAGCACUUCUCAGCACGGUUUUAGAAUCAGGCCUCUAUGCUCAAAUGAGAUUUUUCAGUUUAGCUGUCAUAAGGCUGUUUAAAUGAUCACUCUGAAUUCACCUAAACACCUGGAGCUGAUCUAUUUUUUUUCUUUAGGAAGUAUUUUAUCAAUAAUGGAUUGAUUUCAGGGAAGCCGGAGUCAGUAUCCCUUGAUUAGUAUUAUUAUUAUUCUCUGUGACUCAGUUUGAACUGAAAGAGCAAGAUGGGUAGUUUACAAUGUGAAAACUGUAUUUCAGUGUUUCCUAUUCAAAUUGCAAAUCAGCAAUAUUGGAAUUCAUGGCAGAAGGGGUCAGAAGAUGGGGUUUCUGUGAUCUUUGUUAUUAUGCUCUGAGAAGAGUUGUUCCUUCAGAGCUUAUGUUCAGUUUUUGCUGAGCUGCAGAUUAAACCAGGUCAGUAGCACCAGAAAUUAUGGUACUUGUUGCAAGAUGCCUUACCCAAUUAGGAAAACUUUCACUCUUUCCUCCUCGAAACAGCCUUGCUCCUGUUUGGAAUGCAAUAGAAACAUGAUUAUUAGCUACGUUGUACCAAAUCAGAUUUGUUCAGUGCUUAAAUUAAACGGUGGAAACUGAAUUGCAAAAAUGGAGUUGGUGAACACAGUGAAAUUCAGAGUUGUGUGUGAGUAGCUGGUCGUGGAAUUGAGAAUGUCUGUUUCAGUUGUUUUUAAGAAUAUUUGAGGAAUCUGUGUAUUGUGUUUUGUAUGUCUGUCUACGUAUUGGAGGCCACAUAGUGCUGCCGUUUCUAGUUCUGUGGCCGCUUAAGCCCAUUUUAUCCUCAGAGCUGCGAUUCCUGAAUUGAGAGCAAUUAUCUUGGUGGCUAAUAGACUUCAAAAAACAAGGAAAUAAAUGGGUUCUUACAUCUCAUAAAAUUCCAAUGUCUGCUGUUCAUUCUCCCUGCUUUCUGUUGUCAGGUGCCUGCAGAGCUCUCUCCAUGGCUGGUUACACUUUGGGCACAUAGCAUUAGAUGAUGACUGGAAUUACAGAGUGUAACUAAAAGGUUGUGUCUGAAUUACAACAAGCACCCAGCAGGCUACCCACAGCAAAGCUGAGGAGUUUUCUGCAUGUCGUUUAAAUAUGUAUUUUGUCUCAUUGCCACAGAUGGAACAAAGGAGAGAAAAGAGCACUUUAAAUCCAGACAGUGACAAAAUGGCCAUCAGGUGGCUCUGCUUCUCAGCAGUAUGAGGAGCAGAGGUUUAAUUCAGACAUAUUUUCAUACCCCAGACUACCAGUUCCAAUUGUCUGUAGGAGCCAGAACGCUCUUUCUUUUUUCUUCUGAGGCAGGAUUUGCUAUUAUUUUUUCACACUCACGUACAGCUUCACUUAUACACCUUGCACAUCAUGAGUAAAACUGGCCAACUUUUAAAGCUCCGCUGAAGGAGCUUAGCAUUUAGUACAGGUUGCACAAGCGUGGUGUAACUGAUCCAAAAGGCACGCUAUUUGUUAAGCCUGCUAAACCUUUCGUGGCAAUCACGAAGCCCUAAUCGGGAGCGUUUGGAGAUCAGCGAUUUGACUUCAGCAGGAAAUCUGCCAUCUGCCGGCCGAGGGGGAAAAUGACUUGGUGAGAUGCACCGGCGGAGCGCUCCGGUGGCUCCAACCAGGGGAGAAACUGGCGGCUCUGAAGGGCUUUUCGGCAGCCAGGUGUUUCAGAGCGGGUCAGUAGUUUUCUGACAGCGUGUUUUUCCAUCAGAAAGUACUGCUCUGUUAUAAUUAGAACUUUCUGUGGGAGCACAUC